AUACGGAGGAUCCGAGCGUUAUCCGGAUUUAUUGGGUUUAAAGGGUGCGCAGGCGGGAGAUUAAGUCGGCGGUGAAAUUUUUCAGCUCAACCGGAAAAGUGCCUUCGAAACUGGUUUCCUUGAGUGUAGAUGAAGUAGGCGGAAUUUGUGGUGUAGCGGUGAAAUGCAUAGAUAUUACGAGGAACUCCGAUUGCGCAGGCAGCUUACUAAACUACUACUGACGCUCAGGCACGAAGGCGUGGGGAUCAAACAGGAUUAGAUACCCUGGUAGUCCACGCAGUAAACGAUGAUUACUAGCUGUUUGCGAUACAAUGUAAGCGGCUGAGCGAAAGCGUUAAGUAAUCCACCUGGGGAGUACGUUCGCAAGAAUGAAACUCAAAUGAAUUGACGGGG
rnacentral:rRNA from 1 species